GCCUUCUUAUCUCAGGGGCAGAGCAUUCGUUUAGUAAGCAAAAGGUCGACGGUCCGAUUCCGGCAGAGGACU
rnacentral:tRNA from 1 species